rnacentral:rRNA from 1 species
GACGAACGCUGGCGGCGUGCUUAACACAUGCCAGUCGAACGGAAAGACCCUGCUUUUGUGGGGUGCUCGAGUGGCGAACGGGUGAGUAACACGUGAGUAACCUGCCCUUGACUUUGGGAUAACUUCAGGAAACUGGGGCUAAUACCGGAUAGGAGCUCCUGCUGCAUGGUGGGGGUUGGAAAGUUUCGGCGGUUGGGGAUGGACUCGCGGCUUAUCAGCUUGUUGGUGGGGUAGUGGCUUACCAAGGCUUUGACGGGUAGCCGGCCUGAGAGGGUGACCGGCCACAUUGGGACUGAGAUACAGCCCAGACUCCUACGGGAGGCAGCAGUGGGGAAUAUUGCACAAUGGGCGGAAGCCUGAUGCAGCAACGCCGCGUGCGGGAUGACGGCCUUCGGGUUGUAAACCGCUUUCGCCUGUGACGAAGCGUGAGUGACGGUAAUGGGUAAAGAAGCACCGGCUAACUACGUG